rnacentral:rRNA from 1 species
UACGUAGGGUGCAAGCGUUGUCCGGAAUUAUUGGGCGUAAAGAGCUUGUAGGCGGUUUGUCGCGUCUGCUGUGAAAUUUCGGGGCUCAACCCCGAACUUGCAGUGGGUACGGGCAGGCUAGAGUGUGGUAGGGGGAGACUGGAAUUCCUGGUGUAGCGGUGAAAUGCGCAGAUAUCAGGAGGAACACCGAUGGCGAAGGCAGGUCUCUGGGCCACUACUGACGCUGAGAAGCGAAAGCAUGGGGGAGCGAACAGG